GUAGGGAAUAUUGCGCAAUGGGGGAAACCCUGACGCAGCGACGCCGCGUGAGUGAUGAAGGCCUUCGGGUCGUAAAGCUCUGUUGCACGGGAAUAAAAAAAUGAAGGUACCCUGUGAGGAAGGAUCGGCUAACUUCGUGCCAGCAGCCGCGGUAAGACGAGGGAUCCUAGCGUUGCUCGGAAUCAUUGGGCGUAAAGAGGGCGUAGGUGGCUUGGUAAGUCAGGUGUGAAAGCCCAGGGCUCAACCCUGGAAGUGCAUUUGAUACUGCUGAGCUUGAGUGUCGGAGAGGUUACCGGAAUACCUGGUGUAGUGGUGAAAUACGUAGAUAUCAGGUGGAACACCGGAGGCGAAGGCGGGUAACUGGACGAACACUGACACUGAGGCCCGAAAGCGUGGGGAUCAAACAGGAUUAGAAACCCGUGUAGUCC
rnacentral:rRNA from 1 species